AUUGAACGCUGGCGGCAGGCUUAACACAUGCAAGUCGAACGAUGAUUAUCUAGCUUGCUAGAUAUGAUUAGUGGCGGACGGGUGAGUAACAUUUAGGAAUCUGCCUAGUAGUGGGGGAUAGCUCGGGGAAACUCGAAUUAAUACCGCAUACGACCUACGGGUGAAAGGGGGCGCAAGCUCUUGCUAUUAGAUGAGCCUAAAUCAGAUUAGCUAGUUGGUGGGGUAAAGGCCCACCAAGGCGACGAUCUGUAACUGGUCUGAGAGGAUGAUCAGUCACACCGGAACUGAGACACGGUCCGGACUCCUACGGGAGGCAGCAGUGGGGAAUAUUGGACAAUGGGGGCAACCCUGAUCCAGCCAUGCCGCGUGUGUGAAGAAGGCCUUUUGGUUGUAAAGCACUUUAAGCAGGGAGGAGAGGCUAAUGGUUAAUACCCAUUAGAUUAGACGUUACCUGCGGAAUAAGCACCGGCUAACUCUGUGCCAGCCGCCGCAGUAACAC
rnacentral:rRNA from 1 species